CUACGGGCUGCAGCAGUGAGGAAUUUUGCGCAAUGGGGGGAACCCUGACGCAGCAACGCCGUGUGAGUGAAGAAGGCCUUUGGGUCGUAAAGCUCUGUCAACUGGGAAGAAGUUAUUAUGCUUAAAUAGAGUGUAGUAUUGACGGUACCAGUGGAGGAAGCGUCGGCUAACUCCGUGCCAGCAGCCGCGGUAACACGGGGGACGCAAGCGUUAUUCGGAAUUAUUGGGCGUAAAGGGCGCGUAGGCGGUCUUGUCGGUCAGGUGUGAAAGCCCGGGGCUCAACCCCGGCCGUGCACUUGAAACAGAAAGACUUGAUUACGGGAGAGGAAAGCGGAAUUCCUGGUGUAGAGGUGAAAUUCGUAGAUAUCAGGAGGAACACCGAUGGCGAAGGCAGCUUUCUGGACCGAAACUGACGCUGAGGCGCGAAGGCGUGGGUAGCGAACGGGAUUAGAUACCCGUGUAGUC
rnacentral:rRNA from 1 species